rnacentral:rRNA from 1 species
GACGUAGGUGGCGAACGUUAUCCGGAAUUAUUGGGCGUAAAGGGUGCGUAGGCGGCAUGAUAAGUUAUUGGCGGUAAAUCGAGGCUCAACCUCGUGGAAACUGAUAAUACUGUUUUGCUUGAGUACAGGAGAGGUUAACGGAACUCCAUGUGGAGCGGUAAAAUGUGUAGAUAUAUGGAAGAACACCAAUAACGGCGAAGGCAGUUAACUAUUCUGUCACUGACGUUGAGGCACGAAAGCGUGGGGAGCAAAAAGG